rnacentral:lncRNA from 1 species
UUCUGCAAUGGCACCUGUGACUCUUAUCUAUUUGCUGUUUUCAUAGUUCAGACCAAUAGUGUCUCCAAUAUCGUUUCUCCAGCUUUCGGAUUUCCACAUGUAGUCUGGUCUGCUAAUCGUAACAAUCCUGUUCGAAUAAACGCAACCUUAGAACUCACUUCAGAUGGGAACUUGGUCUUGCAAGAUGCUGACGGAGCUAUUGCUUGGUCGACGAAUACCAGUGGUAAAUCUGUUGUGGGCUUAAACUUGACAGACAUGGGCAACCUCGUACUCUUCGACAAGAAUAAAGCAGCCGUUUGGCAAUCUUUCGAUCAUCCAACGGACUCGCUGGUUCCUGGCCAAAAAUUGUUGGAAGGGAAGAAACUUACAGCUAGUGUUUCAACCACGAAUUGGACGGAUGGAGGUUUGCUUUCACUUUCUGUCACUAACGAAGGAUUAUUUGCUUUCAUAGAGUCUAAUAAUACUUCAGUACCGUAUUAUAAAUUACUCACAGCCUCAAAAACAAGUAAGGAACCAAGCCAUGCUAGAUAUCUGAAUCGAAGCUUAGCUUUGUUCAUAAAUACCUCCGAACCAAGGGAACCAGAUGGGGAAGUUUUUCUUCAUCCAGCAUUAUUAUUCCCGGGACAGUACAUGAGAUUGUGGCCUGAUGGACAUUUAAGAGUUUACGAGUGGCAACAAUAUAAUGGGUGGACAGUAGUGGGAGAUCUAUUGACAGGUAUUUUUGGGGAAUGCGGUUAUCCUCUGGUUUGUGGCAAGUAUAGCAUCUGCUCUGGGGGGCAAUGCAGUUGUCCUGCAACCUAUUUCAAGCCAUUAAAUGAAAGACAGCCUGCCCUUGGGUGCUCCCAGAUUACUCCCUUAUCGUGUGAAGCUUCGCAAGAUCAUAGUUUUGUUGAACUCAAUGAUGUCACUUACUUCGCGUUUAGCUCAUUUAGCUCAGACCUUACGAAUACAGAUCCGGAGACAUGCAAACAAGCCUGUUUAAAUAAUUGCUCUUGCAAAGCUGCUCUUUUUCAGCGUGGUUUGAACUCUUCUGCUGGAGAUUGCUACUUACCAUCUGAAAUCUUUUCAAUGAUGAAUAAUGAGAAGGAAAGGACUCAUUAUAACUCAACUGCUUACAUUAAGGUUCAAAACUUGCCAGUGCCAGGUGCAAGUCCUGGAGGAAAGGAGACGAGCCACAGAAAAAGAAUAAUGGGGUUCAUCCUUGGAUCUUUCUUUGGUUUAUUAGUUCUAAUUGGUAUCUUGAUCUUUUUCUUUGGGAAGAAAAAGGGGGCUGAUGAAAUUGAGGAAGAUUGUUUAGAUCAAGUGCCAGGACUACCCAAAAGAUUCUCAUUUGAAGAGUUGAAAGUCAUGACAGACAAUUUCAGAAAGAUACUGGGUAAGGGGGGCUUUGGCUCAGUCUUUGAGGGGGCACAAACUGAUGGUACAAAAGUUGCAGUGAAACGUCUCGAAGGAAUUGGUGAAAUCAAUAAAUCUUUCUUAGCAGAGGUGAAGACAAUUGGAAGCAUUCACCAUCUGAACUUGUUGAGGUUGAUAGGGUUUUGUGCUGAGAAAUCUCAAAACCUUCUUGUUUAUGAAUACAUGCCGAAUGGAUCUCUAGAUAGGUGGCUUUUCCAGAGAUCAGAUGAGUUUAUGCUUGACUGGCAGCAAAGAAAGAAGAUCAUCCUUGAUAUUGCCAAGGGACUAACCUAUCUCCAUGAAGAUUGCAGGCAGAAGAUACUCCACUUGGAUAUCAAGCCCCAAAAUAUUCUGCUAGAUGACAACUUCAAUGCCAAAGUUGCUGAUUUUGGUUUGUCGAAAUUGAUUGACCGGGACCAGAGCCAAGUUGUGACAACCAUGAGAGGAACUCCAGGCUAUUUGGCUCCUGAAUGGCUUAGCUCAGUAAUUACAGAAAAAGUAGAUAUCUAUAGCUUUGGAGUUGUGAUGUUGGAGAUAUUGUGUGGCCGGAAAGUUUUUGACCGCUCUCAGCCUGAGGAGGAAGACAUGUAUUUGCUAAGCAUAUUCAAUAAGAAGGCAGAGGAGGACAAAUUGUCUGAUCUGGUAGAUAGACACAGUAACGAUAUGCAAUCAAAUGAAGAAGAAGUAGUGAAUAUGAUGAAGGUAGCUGCAUGGUGUCUGGAAAGUGAUUUUGUAAAGAGACCUUCCAUGUCAAUGGUAGUUAAGGUUUUGGAGGAUGUUACAGAGUUUGAGCAUAACCUCCAUUAUAACUUGGUUCAUCUACCAACUACAGCAGCAUUAACAAACGUUGAUCGUAGAGAAGAAAAUGAUAAACCCAUUACUCAAUUGUUGCCUUCAGUUUUGUCAGGGCCAAGAUGACAGACGGCUAGCAGGUAUACAUACCAUUUUUCCAUUCUUGAUUAGCAUUAAUAAUGUUUACCAACAACUUUUGUUUUUGGACUUGAAAAAGAAAUCCAAUUGGGCUUUACCAGCAACUUUCAGCAUCUUUCUUGAAAAAAAUAAAAAACAAUUGGCCCCAAAUUUUUGUAGGGUUAUUCGUGGAUACAAACCGGAAUAAAAGAAACUUUAAAUCUUUGAUAAGAAUGUAAGUUUCAUUAUCGAUUUAUUAUGCAAAUUUAAAUUCGUGGACCAAUAACUGCAGGAACCUUCUAACGUACGUAUGUGCUAAUUCAGAAAUUCGUGGCAAGUCUCAGUAGUAAUUAAUCUCAAAUUUGCAGUAUCUGGCGAAUCUUAUCAUUGACUGAUCUUUGGCCCUGAUCUUUUCUGCUUCUCAAGCAGAUGAGUGGCAGAAACAAGAAGAGGGUGCCUACAACAUUAAACUUUUGCCAAGCAAAAUUAAGCGAAGAAGUCCAAUCUUAUGGGAAGUUAACUCAAGCUUUUACUAGUGGAUCUUCUGUAAGAUAAAUACUUCCGAAAAAUGGAUGUUCUACAGUGAUUUUGUCGUCUACAUUUGUUGUUUAGACGCUGAGAAUGUCUGUCUUUAGAUAUUGCGAAUGUAAGUGGGGGAGGCAAAGCAAGCUGCAUUACAUUGAACGCUUUAUUUUGAUUUGUUCAAUGCUUCAAUAUAUAUAUAUAUAUAAUAGGUCUAAAAUGUUGCUUAAUAAAGAGCAUUAAAUAGUAUCUUUAUUAUAAUAUUUACCUACUGGUUAUUUGUUAGUGAAACAAGGAGUUGGGGAAAUUUUGUUUUUUGGAAACAAAGAGAUCCCACUAUAAUGAAGAGUAUGCCAAAACUUAAGCUCUUGGGUCGAGUGGUAACAGAGCAAUUUUAGUCUCACUUUUUAUGACCUCUCUUGUUGUGUUAGGAGGGUAUGGCUAAUUUUUGGAUGAAUAUAAUUAUCAUGAGGACAUAUUGCAGAGGUUGAAUAUAAUCGUCAUGAAGACAUAUUGCACCUAAGAUUAAGAAUAUAAUGUAGGAAGCUUUUGCAAAGACUGUCCAUAGCUUAUAUACUGCACCCUGAGUCCUUAAAUAAUCAAAUCUCUAGUUAAACGCUCGUAAAAGUUUGACUUCUAUGUGGCAAGGCUUCAAGUGUAUUCUAUCUCACCCUUUUCUUUGAUGUGGGAUCUCUCUUUGAUUAAACUUAUUGCCAUUUUCAAGGUUUUAUAAUUUCUCCAAUAUAAAACUUUUGUAUUUUGUUGUGAUCAUAUAUCACUUCAUAUUCCAGUUGCGAAGGAGACAGAGUUUGAGUUUUGGGGAUUUCUUUUUGUUAUUCUUGCUGCUGUCAUGUCUGGAUUUCGUUGGUGCAUGACUCAAAUUCUUCUACAGGUAUGGUUUAGUUGUAUUCCUGAUAUACAUGGUUUAUGGAAUUUGUGUAACUUAAACCCAAUUUUUUUUUCCUACAUGACUUUAUUUUUUUGUUUGGAUUUCAAUACGAUGGUCCAUGGCGAAAUAAAAAUGGAUGUAAAGAAAGAAACUUACGGUAGGUACUUAUUCUUUUUCUUUUAUUUCAUUUGAAUUUUAGCCAAUCUCAACUGCUACUAGAUUUUAUCUACUGCCAUAAGUAUCUGCAAGCAUGCUUUGCACAUAUUAGAUUUUCAUGUACCGCUGUAAGCAUCUGCAAGUGUGUGUAACAUGUAUGUUCCUCAGAAUUUACUUUACAUAAUGAUGAUACAUAGAAAUACUGUUUAUUGGACCUUUUCUUAUGAGCUUGAGCUUUUGGAAUUAAUAGUCUUUUAAUAUGGUGUCAUUCUGCUUUUUUCUAAGCUAGCCAGCACUUAUUGAUGAACAAAUUUUGCUCUUGGUAAAAAGCUUGAGUCUCUGGUGAACAAACUUAUACAUUACAUUUCUUUCCUAGAUGCUUUGCCUUAGUUUUUAUACCAUUAUUUCUAAUCAAUCACUAAGAAGUGUUUUCUUUAUUUUUUGUUUUUAGGUCUUAAAAAUCCACUUACCUUGAUGAGCUAUGUGGCACCAAUUAUGGCGCUGGUGACUGCUCUUCUUUCUCUAUUGCUGGAUCCAUGGCAUGAAUUCAAAAGGAAUAAUUAUUUCAAUAACUCAUGGCAUGUCACUCGGAGUUUGUUGCUGAUGCUUUCCGGCGGAGCUUUGGCCUUUUUCAUGGUAAGAAUUGAUGUCGAACAAAAGGAUUGGGGGGAAGAUACAUUUACAUGCUUUUCGUGUUGCAUAUUGAGUAUGCUUGGUCUGAGUUUCAUGGUCUCCAAAAGAAAUUAAUACAUUUACAUGCUUUUCAUGUUGCAUAUUGAGUACACUUGAUCUGAGUUUCAUGGUCCCCAAAAGAACUAACUUGUUUCUCUUGUUACAGGUUUUGACGGAAUUUGUACUUGUCUCGGUAACAAGUGCUGUCACUGUUCAAAUUGCAGGUGUUGUCAAGGAGGCUGUUACCAUAUUGGUAAAACUUUUCUAGGGUAGUUCGGCUUUCUAGAUUAUUUUGGUAAAAUGUUGGCCAUUGUAUGUGCUUUAUUGUUUGUUCUAUCUUACUUUCUAGUCGUUACCUUGUGAAAUCCUUUAGUUACAAUACCGUUCUGUUUGAAACAUUAAAUAUUCAAACUCUCCUAUUAGAUAAGAUAAAUACCCUGUUUGUCAUGAGCUGCAAUUAUUCAUGAUUAUGGCUAUUGUCUUAAAAUAUUUUUUAUGGUCUGAGCCGUCUUUUGUAACUUUUAAUUGUGAUCUGUAAUUACAUUUAGAUUUUUGUUUGAGGAUGUUUAAUGCAUCUAUAGAUGUAAGAAUCACGCUUUGAUUGUUUUACUAGUUUUAUUGUCACAGUGUAGGCUGUGUAGCUCUCUCCUGCAUAGACGGACACUGUGCUUUGAUUGUUUUACUAGUUUUAUUGUCGCAAUGUAGCUGUCUCCUGCAUAGACAGACACCGUAUAGAAUUAAACCCUAGUCUUAUGUUUUCUUAUUGUGUUUUUUCAUUUGGUUAGUUAUUUUAUUAAUAAUUACAAAUAUAAAAAACAUGAAUGGCUACACAGUAUAAGGACUCUCAAAGGAUUCUACUUCAAUAUGUAAAUGUACAGGUUGCAGUGUUUUACUUCCAUGAUGAGUUCAGUUGGCUGAAGGGGUUUGGUCUCUUCACAAUCCUGGUUGGUGUCAGUUUAUUCAAUUGGUACAAGUAAGUCAUUAGUUAUUGUAGUUUUGAACUAUUAUUAUAUGUUUCUUCUCUUUUUCUUUUUUCCUUUUUUUCCUGUGUUAACUGAUUUUGUUGUUGUCUUUUUUUUUUCAACUAUUAUUUGGCUGUUAGAUUAUUGCUUAGUGUGUAGUGGCCAAAUGUGGAUUGUGUGAUGCAGAAUACAUAAGUAUCCAGUUCAUUCCUAAUAAUCUUAAAACUUCCUCUCAUCAAAGAGUCCAAUUAAACGGGACAAAAUGUAAUUGUAGAACUUUUGGACUGGACAAAUUUCCCAUGACUAGCCUUUGCUUUUGGCUGUUUGCAUGAGAAGGAUGUUCCUUUAACUUGCAUGUUUUCCAUGUUAAAUACCCUUCUAUAACAUUAAACACUAAAGCUUGGUUGAUGUCCAACAGAUGUUAUAUGUCAGAUUUGCGAACAUUCUGGUGGUGAGCUUUAAUCUUAUCUGUGAACGGUUAGCCUGCUGCACAAAAUUGGAUCAUUAUACAAAGGUUCCACAUUAUGUGCCCUAGUCAUUGAAGUUUGAUAAAAUUUAAGAAUAUGAUAAUGACAUUUCUCGAAAUUCAAGAAAGCUUCCCAAUGGUCAUUAUGUGUCAUUAUAAAUGGGAUCAACCAACUUAUAAUUGCCUUGUCCUGUUGCUAUCAGUUAGCAAUGAGAAUUGAUAUUUUACCGGCUCAUCCAGCUAAAUUUUGUCAGUCCUUUGCUCCUCACUUACCAAAUUUGACAUGUAUUGAUUGCAUUUGUUUGUGGAUCUCUUGAAUAAUAUUUUGGUUUUUGAUGUUUCUUCCUGACAUAUUAAAAAUAUUGGAAUUUUAAGAGUCUCUCUAGUCUCUGAGAUUAUGGAUCAGAAAAGCAUCUGUAUUCAACAUUAGUUGUGGAACAAUUUACGGGCAGAAUGAUAAAGCUCAACUUUAAGUUACCUAAUCUUAACGCCUGAUUUCUGCUGUGUGCUUCUUGUCAACUUUUUCCUAAUCUGGGUUUUGAUAUUGAUUGUUAAUCUUUUUUAUCCUUUUUCAGAUACCAAAAGCUUCAGGCAGGUCAUGCAAAUGAAGAUGGCAUGCUGGGAUCACGUGAAACAAAUGCUUCUGCAAAAUAUGUUAUUCUAGAGGAGAUUGAUGAUCUAGAUGAGGGCACUUGAAGUUUCUAGUAAUCACAUGAUUUGAAUUUUGAUAAUCUUGUGUAAGCCUCUUGCUGAACCUUCUCCCCUAAAAACAUUGGACAUCUAUGCAGUUUGGGGUGGAACCUUAGGUUGAUGCAAUGGUUUGAUUUGGUAUUUAUCAGUGGUCCAAGUUUGUGUAAUGAUCCAUUGAUUUACAUUUGAUUAUCAGGUUAUCAGCCAAAGAAAUCCGUGGCAUCAGUAGUAACUGGUCUCAAGUUUGCGGUACUUAGCAAAUCUUAUUUUUGGCUGAGCUUCGGCCUUGAUUUUUUCUGCGCCCUCAAGCAGGUCAGUGGCAGAAACGUACAGGGUGUGUACAAAAUCAGGGGUUUAGCAAAUACAUUUUGGCAAGCGGAAUUGAGUGAAGACUGAAGAAGCCCGUUCAUGUGGGAAGUUUACCUCAAGCUUUUUACUAGUGGGUCUUGUCUAAGAUACAUAUUUCCGAAAUGCAUACUCUACGGUCAUUUUGUCGGUCGUUGAUUUGUUGUUUAGUUUAGACAUUGAGAAUGCAAGUGGCGAAGCAAGCUGUAAUCGAUUGAACGCUUUAUUUUGACUUGUUCAAUGCUUCAAAUAUAUUAUUUCACUUUUUGAGGACUUUUAUGGUCAUCCUUUGAUAAAUUGUAUUGUACUCCCUUCAUUGGUUUUAUGCUACCAGGCACCGACUCUGUGGACUUUUACGCUACCACGGGAAAACAGAAAUGAAAAAACAAACUUUUUUGUAGAACAUUAAAAUAUGAAUACAAAAAUGGUAAAGAGAGAGAAAGAUAAAAAAAGGUGUAUUGAACUGGAGCAAAAUUUCCUCAUCUUUCACUCGUUUCAUUUUUCUCUGUCUUUAGCAUCAUCAUUAAUAUAAAUAUCCUUUUUCUUAUUCUUAUGCCUAUCUUUUAAUAAAAUACGUCAAUGGGCCCUGGCCCAGUGGGUGGAUGAGUCAUAAGCGUGUCGGUGGGACCGGUGGGUGGAUGAUACAGAAUAGAGCUAACGAGACUGCAGGGUUGACUUCUGUACCUUAAAUAAGUUUUUUCAGUCAAUCCUUAUUUUAUCAUUGAAAUUCUCUGCAAAGUGAAAAAAAUCCUGCAGUCUCCUUUACAAAUCAUUCCGUAUUGCACUCUUCGUUGUCGGCGAUGAGUGUUAGCCGGAACCGGUGUUCUGUUCUUUUCUUUCUUAUUUUCUCUGCACCAUUUUCUUGCUUGGUUGAUGCCCAAAGUUUUGAUUAUCCGACAGCGAACCUCUCUACUUCAUGGACCAACGGCCCAUCAGCUUCUGACUCGGUAGGUUUCACUGACGGAUCAGCGGUGACAGCCAUCCUUCUUAGGGGAACCCUUGGCCCCACAUAUGCAUGUGGCUUCUUCUGCAACGGCACCUGUGACUCUUAUCUAUUUGCUGUUUUCAUAGUUCAGGCCAAUGAUGCUUCCUUAAUCGAAUAUGACAAUAUCGAUUUUCCACAGGUUGUCUGGUCUGCUAAUCGUAACAAUCCUGUUCGAAUAAACGCAACCUUAGAACUCACUUCAGAUGGGAACUUGGUCUUGCAAGAUGCUGACGGAGCUAUUGCUUGGUCGACGAAUACCAGUGGUAAAUCUGUUGUGGGCUUAAACUUGACAGACAUGGGCAACCUCGUACUUUUUGACAAGAAUAAUGGGGCCGUUUGGCAAUCUUUCGAUCAUCCAACGGACUCGCUGGUUCCUGGCCAAAAAUUGUUGGAAGGGAAGAAACUUACAGCUAGUGUUUCAACCACGAAUUGGACGGAUGGAGGAUUGUUUUCACUUUCUGUCACUAACGAAGGAUUAUUUGCUUUCAUAGAGUCUAAUAAUACUUCAAUACGGUAUUAUGAAUUAGUCAAAGCCACAAAAACAAGUAAGGAACCAAGCCAUGCUAGAUAUCUGAAUGGAAGCUUAGCUUUCUUCAUAAAUUCCUCCGAACCAAGGGAACCAGAUGGGGCAGUUCCUGUUCCUCCAGCAUCGUCAUCCCCGGGACAGUACAUGAGAUUGUGGCCUGAUGGACAUUUAAGAGUUUACGAGUGGCAAGCAUCGAUAGGGUGGACAGAAGUGGCCGAUCUAUUGACAGGUUAUCUUGGGGAAUGCGGUUAUCCUCUGGUUUGCGGCAAGUAUGGCAUCUGCUCUCAGGGGCAAUGCAGUUGUCCUGCAACCUAUUUCAAGGUAUUAAAUGAUAGAAAGCCUGCCCUUGGGUGCUCCCCGAUUACUCCCCUAUCAUGCGAAGCUUCGCAAGAUCAUAGUUUUGUUGAACUCAAUGAUGUCGCUUACUUCACGUUUAGCUCACCUAGCUCAGACCUUACGAAUACAGAUCCAGAGACAUGCAAACAAGCCUGUUUAAAGAAUUGCUCGUGCAAAGCUGCUCUUUUUCUGUAUGGUUUGAACCCUUCUCGUGGAGAUUGCUACUUACCAUCUGAACUCUUUUCAAUGAUGAAUAAUGAGAAGGAAAAGACUCAUUAUAACUCAACUGUUUACAUUAAGGUUCAAAACUUUUCAAUGCCAGGUGCAAGUCCAGGAGGAAAGGAGACGAGCCACAGAAAAAGAAUAAUGGGGUUCAUCCUUGGAUCUUUCUUUGGUUUAUUAGUUCUAAUUGGUAUCUUGAUCUUUUUCUUUGGGAAGAAAAAGGGGGCUGAUGAAAUUGAGGAAGAUUGUUUAGAUCAAGUGCCAGGACUACCCAAAAGAUUCUCAUUUGAAGAGUUGAAAGUCAUGACAGACAAUUUCAGAAAGAUACUGGGUAAGGGGGGUUUUGGCUCAGUCUUUGAGGGGACACAAACUGAUGGCACAAAAGUUGCAGUGAAACGUCUCGAAGGAAUUGGUGAAAUCAAUAAAUCUUUCUUAGCAGAGGUGAAGACAAUUGGAAGCAUUCACCAUCUGAACUUGUUGAGGUUGAUAGGGUUUUGUGCUGAGAAAUCUCAAAACCUUCUUGUUUAUGAAUACAUGCCGAAUGGAUCUCUAGAUAGGUGGCUUUUCCAGAGAUCAGAUGAGUUUAUGCUUGACUGGCAGCAAAGAAAGAAGAUCAUCCUUGAUAUUGCCAAGGGACUAACCUAUCUCCAUGAAGAUUGCAGGCAGAAGAUACUCCACUUGGAUAUCAAGCCCCAAAAUAUUCUGCUAGAUGACAACUUUAAUGCCAAAGUUGCUGAUUUUGGUUUGUCGAAAUUGAUUGACCGGGACCAGAGCCAAGUUGUGACAACCAUGAAAGGAACUCCAGGCUAUUUGGCUCCUGAAUGGCUUAGCUCAGUAAUUACAGAAAAAGUAGAUAUCUACAGCUUUGGAGUUGUGAUGUUGGAGAUAUUGUGUGGCCGGAAAGUUUUUGACCGCUCUCAGCCUGAGGAGGAAGACAUGUAUUUGCUGAGCAUAUUCAAGAAGAAGGCAGAGGAGGACAAAUUGUCUGAUCUGGUGGAUAAACACAGUAACGAUAUGCAAUCAAAUGGAGAAGAAGUAGUGAAUAUGAUGAAGGUGGCUGCAUGGUGUCUGGAAAGUGAUUUUGCAAAGAGACCUUCCAUGUCAAUGGUAGUUAAGGUUUUGGAGGGCGUUACAGAGUUUGAUCAUAACCUCCAUUAUAACUCCGUUCACCUGCCAUCUACAGCAGCACUAGCAAACGUUGAUCAUAGGGAAGAAAAUGACAAAUCCACUACUCAAUUGUUGCCUUCAAUUUUGUCGGGGCCAAGGUGACAGACGAUUAGCAAGUAUACAUACCACAUAUCCAUUCAUUAUUAGCAUUAAUAAUGCUUACCAUCAACUUUUGUUUUUAGAUUUGAAAAAGAAAACUAAUUGGGCUUUACCGACGAACUCUCAGCAUCUUUCUUAAAAAAUUGGCGCCAAAGUUUUGUAGGGUUAUUUGUGGAUACAAUCUGGAAUGAAAGAAACUUCAAAUCUUUGAUAAGAAUGUAAAUCUCGUAAUUGAUUUAUUAUGCAAAUUUUAAAUUCGCGGAUCAAAUAACUGCAAGCAACCAUCUAAGGUACAUAUGUGCAAAUUCAGAAAUCCGUGGCAAGUAUCAGUAGUAAUGGGUCUCAAAUUUGCAGUAUCUCGCGAAUCUUAUCAUUGACUGAGCUUUGGCCCUGAUCUUUUCUGCUUCUCAAUCAGAUCAGUGGCAGAAACAAGAAGAGGGUGCCUGCAACAUUAGGGUUUACCAAAUACAUUUUGCCAAGCAAAAUUGAGCGAAGAAGUCCAAUCUUAUGGGAAGUUACCUGAAGCUUUUACUAGUGGGUCUUCUGUAAGAUGCACAGUUGCGAAAUGCAUGACUACACUGAUUUCGUCAGUCUCUAAUUUGUUGUUUAGACACUGAGAAUAUCAGUCUUUAGACAUUGAGAAUGUGAGUGGGGAGGCGAAGCAAGCUGCGUUGCAUUGAACGCUUUAUUUUGAUUGGUUCAAUGCUUUAAAAAAAAAACUUUUAUUUUCCAAGACUUUUAUGGUCAUUUUUGAUAACUUACUUUUUUAUUACUUUUUUUUAAUUACUAAAAAAAUUUUGGGAUUAUGUAAAUCAGGUCUAUCAUAACAUAGUUUAAAUAUCUAUUUCCACUGAUAUUAAAAAAACAAAAGAACUACUCCGCUGAUAUUGGUAGAGAAAUAUCUAUCCCUAAAUUUUAUAAUUAAAAAGUGAGAAAAAUACCCAAAAUAAUUAUUUAAGUGGAAGGUGAAUAGAAUUCCAAGUAUAUAAUUAAUGAAAGAGUAGAAUCUUUGAGUGUGUGUCGGGACUCGAGUUGAGGUUGCCCUUAGGCCCUUAGGCGCUUUGAUGGAAAGGGUUAGCAACGAGGGUAGCCCAUUGGCCUACUCUUUUAUUAAAUUUAAACUGUGGAUGGGUCUGAGUCUCUUUCUUCUCGAAGGUUUUGACCAAGGGAAAAACAAAGACAUAACUUCUUAAACUUAUCAUUGCCUGUUUUUCAAAAUUCAUCUAUGGGCAUUGAACUUGUGGGUGGGGGAAGACACGCGUAGGACGAGACUAGAGGGUUUGACUUUUGUUCUAUAAAUAAGUUUUCCAAUCAACCAAUUGUUGCAUACUUGAAUCAUUCUGCAGUUAAACCAAAUCCUGCAAUCAUCCUGUUUAAUCUGAAUUGCACUGCACAUUUUCGGCGAUGAGUGUUAGCUGGAACUGGUGCUCUGUUCUUUUCUUUCUUAUUUUCUCUACACCGUUUUCCUUGUUGGUUGAUGCCCGAAGCCAAAGUUUUGAUUAUCCGACAGCAAAACUCUCAACUAAAUGGGUCAACAGCCCGUCAACUCCUCAUUCCGUAGCUUUCACGGACGGAUCAACGGUGAGAGCCAUCCUUCUCAGGGGAACCUUUGGCCCCAGAUAUGCAUGUGGCUUCUUCUGUAACGGAGCCUGCGACACUUAUCUAUUUGCUGUUUUCAUAGUUCAAACCAACAGUGCUUCCUCAAUCGUUGCGCCAGCAAUCGGAUUCCCACAGGUCGUCUGGGCUGCUAACCGUAACAAUCCUGUUCGAAUAAAUGCAACCUUAGAACUCACUUCACGUGGGAACUUGGUUUUGCGAGAUGCCGACGGAACUGUAGCUUGGUCGACGAAUACUAAUGGUAAAUCUGUUGUGGGCUUAAACUUGACAGACACGGGCAACCUUGUACUUUUCAACAAGAAAAAUGCAGCAGUUUGGCAAUCUUUCGAUCAUCCGACAGACUCGCUGGUUCCUGGGCAAAAAUUGGUGGAAAGGGAAGAAACUUACAGCUAGUGUUUCAACCACGAAUUGGAUGGAUGGGGGUUUGUUUUCACUUUCUGUUACUAAGGAAGGAUUGUUUGCUUCCAUAGGGUCUAAUAAUACUCCAGUACCGUACUAUGAAUAUAGAGUCGGUGGCACGAAAACAAGAAAGCAACCAAGCUAUGUUAGAUAUCUGAAUGGAAGCUUAGCUUUAUUCAUAAAUUUAUCGGAACCAAGCGAGCCAGAAGGGGCACUUUCUGUUCCUCCGGCAGCAUCAUUACCGGGACAGUACAUGAGAUUGUGGCCUGACGGACAUUUAAGAGUUUACCAGUGGCAAGCAUCGAAAGGGUGGACACAAGUGGCGGAUCUCUUGACUGGUUAUUCUGGGGAAUGCGGUUAUCCUAUGGUUUGCGGCAAGUACGGCAUUUGCUCCGGCGGGCAAUGCAGUUGUCCUCCAAUCUAUUUCAAGCCAAUAAAGGAUAGACAGCCUGCCCUUGGGUGCUCCCCGAUUACUCCCUUAUCAUGUGAAGCUUCCCAAAAUCAUAGUUUUGUUGAACUUAAUGAUAUCACUUACUUCACUUUUAGCUCAGACCUUACGAAUACAGAUUCGGAGACGUGUAAACAAGCCUGUUUAAAGAAUUGCUCGUGCAAAGCUGCUCUAUUUCGGUAUGGUUGGAACCCUUCUGCUGGAGAGUGCUCCUUGCUGUCUGAAAUCUUUUCGAUGAUUGAUAAUGACCAGGAAAAGACUCAUUAUAACUCAACUGCUUACAUUAAGGUUCAGAACUUGGCAACGCUAAAGUGAGGAAAUAAGACGAGUCAUGAUAGGGCCCGGCUCUAGAGUAUCUCCGAAGCCUCAAGUGAAAGAUUUAAUUUAUUAAUGCAUUUUGUACUUGCUGAUGAAAUAAAUUACCUAUGUGUAAUAUUCAUAUUUUAUGUGACACUUUUUAUCGUUUCUUCUAGACACGCAAAAUGCUGGAAUUUUAAAUUUAUUUUUGGUAAACAAACAGGAAUGAAUUAAAGAAAUAAGUAAAAUUAGUAACGAAUUAAAGAAAUAAGUAAUUAUUAACAUUAAUUUUUAGAGGAAAAAUAUAUAUGACGUCCUUUAUAAGAUUUUACAUAUAAAUGAAUUAUAUAAGAUUUAGAAAUAUCUAUUUCAAAAAAAAAAUUGUAUUAGCUCUAUCAUAAAGUUAUAUGAUUUAUUUCCAAUCAUCCUCUCAUAAAACAACAAUCUUCAAAAUACUCCAUUAGCUAUUAUAAAACCCAACUUACCUUCUAUUUUUGUUAAAAGACAAAAAACUUUUCAUCAAGAUGCACCCCAUUUUUCCAAAAUUUUUUAAACAAAAAUGAAGUAAAUUAAAGUUAUGGUAUUUUGAAAAUUGUUAAUCCACGAUGAAUAAUCCAAAAUUAACUCUCAUUUUUUCUACCUUAUGAAUUUGCUGAUGCAGCCAUCCUUCUGAGGAGAGCCUCAGGCUCCUGAUAUGCAUGUGGCUACUUCUGUAACGGAACCUGUGACGCUUAUCUUUUUGCUGUUUUCAUAAUUAGACAGCGUCGGUGGUAAUUGCUCGUGCAAAGCUGCUCUAUUUCGGUAUGGUUGGAACCCUUCUGCUGGAGAGUGCUCCUUGAUGUCUGAAUCUUUUCGAUGAUUGAUAAUGACAAGGAAAAGACUCAUUAUAACUCAACUGCUUACAUUAAGGUUCAGAACUUGGCAAUGCCAAAGUGAGGAAAUAAGACGAGUCAUGAUAGGGCGGGCUCUAGAGUAUCUCUGAAGCCUCAAGUGAAAGAUUUAAUUAAUUAAUGCAUUUUUUAGUUGCUGUUGAAAUAAAUUACCUGUAAAUUAAAAGAAGCAAAAAAUCUGUAAGGGAAGACUCCGAAGAUGUCGGAAAGCUCCGAAAACCUUGAAACCCAUGAAAACCCAAGGUUGUUGAAAACGAUUCCACCACCGUCGCCUGAGGAUCGUUCUACCAAAAAGGCUCGCUUUCGCAGCCAUGGUAUGGACGCGGAUAAUCCACCACCGUUAUCUUUCAAGGAUGCCCUCAUGCCCCGUACUCAACAAAGAAGUUUUGAUGAUACUGAGAUGGAUGACGAGUGGGACUUUGAACCGGGAGAUGUAACCGUGGGGGACGAUGGUACCAUGCCAACUAUUAAAUUCUCUCAACGAAUCCAUGAGAAACUAGUUAAACCUUGGCAAAAUUUGGUGGUGGUGAAGUUGUUGGGGAGAAAUAUAGGUUAUAAGGUUUUGUAUAAUCGGCUGAAGGUCAUGUGGCAUAUGAUUCCGGAUUUUUCAGUAAUCGACCUUGAAAAUAAUUACUUUUUAAUUCGACUUAACUCACCAGAGGAUGCUAUUUAUGCGUUAACUGAGGGACCAUGGGUAAUCUUUGGACACUAUCUAACAGUCCAACCGUGGAGACCUAGUUUCGAUAGCACCAUUACAGAGAUUGCUUCUGCAGUUGUGUGGGUUCGUUUGCCUGGAAUGGUGUUCCACUUAUAUGACAAGCGUGCCCUAAGAAAGAUUGGACAACUCGUGGGUAAUUUCAUUAAGAUCGAUUAUCAUACGGAAUCGCGGGAAAGGGGCAAAUUUGCUAGGGUUGCUGUUCGUGUCUCCUUUACUUAGCCGUUAGUGGCUCAGUUUAACUUGGAAUGAAGGAUUUAAAAGGUUGAGUAUGAAGGGUUACCGAUCAUAUGUUAUCAAUGUGGUAAGUAUGGUCAUAAUAGCACGGCUUGUUUGAAUAGAUAACCUUCGAAUAUGAUGAAUGAGGCAAAUUCUGAGAACAAUACACUAAUUAAUAAAUCCUUAGAUAAGAGUGGUGUCCAGAUUGUGGCAAACAACACCAGCGAAAGGUUUGGCCCAUGGAUGAUUAUGGAGCGAAAAUGGAGAGCUAGACUAGUUGUGGAUAAGGAGAACAUUACGGAUUCAGAAAGGAAUCAGCGAAGGAAUUUCAAUAAUACUUCUCGUUUUGCUAUUUUAUCUGACGACCAGGAUGCACCAACUGCGGAGGAGCUUGUUGGUCAGAACCCCAUACACAUCCCUCCCUAGCAACCAACCACAUCCAUUACCGAUCACUUCAACACUCGAAAAAACAAUACUCUGAAAACCUAUCGAAUCCUAAAACCUCAUAACCAGCUGUCCAAAGGAAAACAAGUGGCCAAAUCAUAGUUUCCAAAACCUAAGCCACUGCACCCUACUACAUCCAGCUCCAUGCAUGAAACUCUACGGCCCCAUGCCACCAAAAUCCUCUCCCACAAAACUAAUGAACCUAACCCGAGCCCCUUGAGACAUACUCCUAGUGAACCGUUGAGUUUACUUUUAAUUUGACAACUCUUGAUCCCACAAAACAUACGGCUGUCACCAUACCGUAUAGAAACCAGGCCACUGCAGGACAGCCAUCAAGUGAAAAACCUGUUGCCCAACCUGAACAGCAAAUUCUUCCAAAGCAGCUAGCGGAGCCUCCUGAUGGCAAGGAUGCAGGGGUUGUUGAUAUAAUGGUGAAUUAUGAGGGGGUUUCUCAACCUGUUUUUGGACAAGAAGGUGAAGACACCAUGUCUGAUGAUGAAGACACGGUUGUACAGGAGACUCCUGGAGUGCAUGUUGGACUAAUGGUGGAGCUUGAUGCGUAAACCUUUUCUACUCACCCACUUUAUCCAUAAUUGAUUAAUGACAAUUUCAACUUUAUUCUGGAACGUCCAAGGGGCGGGGUCCCCAGCUUUUAGACAAACUUUUGCUGCUUUAAUUAAAAACUACAAUCCUACAAUUGUAGCGAUUUUCGAGCCAAGAAUAAGUGGGAAGAAAGCAAACGAUUUUAUUAAAAAAAAUGGCUUUGACCGCUCUCAUCGUGUGGAGGCUAGUGGUUUCUCUGGAGGUAUUUGGGUGUUAUGGCGUGAUUUGUUUUACGUUGAGGUUGCUCUAAAUCAUAAUCAGUUUAUCCAUUUAAAAAUCAGUGUCCAGAAUGUUACUCAAGCUUGGAUCACAGCAGUCUAUGCGAGCCCCAACUCAAUUCGCCGUCGUGAGCUAUAGUAUCGGUUGAAUGGCAUUGCGAGAUAGAUGCAUGACCCUUGGCUGGUGGGGGGUGAUUUUAAUUCAAUUUUGUAUGCUGGGGAAAAACAUGGAGGGUCUCAAAUGGGCACGGGUAUUUGUCCAAGCUUUAAUUCAUGGUUGAUUUGCCUUUCAGUGGCCCUCGUUUCACUUGGGCUCGUGGGAAUCUAUCAAAGAGACUCGAUCGAGCUCUGAGUAAUAAGGAUUGGAUUCUAAAGUUUGAUAAUUAUUCGGUGACCAAUCUCCUGCGAGUUGAAUCUGAUCACAGACCGAUUUUGGUUCGUUUUGAGCACAAUGGUAAAGGAAUGAGGAGUAUAAAGCCUUUCCGGUUUCUAGCUGCUUGGAUGACAGAUAAUCGGUUUGGAGAUUUUAUGCAGGGCAAUUGGCAGAGAAAUAUGCCUUAUGCUCAAGCUGCUUCUAACUUCACAAGUAAGGUAGCUAAUUGGAAUAGGGAAGUUUUUGGUAAUAUUUUUAAAAGGAAAAAAGAAUUGUUUGCUCGUCUUGGCGGGGUUCAAAAAGCCUUGGAAAGGCGGCCUCUCAGUAGCCUGUAUCGUCUGGAGGUAAGGUUAAAAAAGAAGCUGGAAGAAGUUCUGUCUUAAGAGGAUCUGUUAUGGUAUCAAAAAUCUCGCAGAGAGUGGAUUAAAUAUGGGGAUCGGAAUACAUCAUUUUUUCAUCAAAAAACCAUUACAAGGAGGGCUCAUAAUCGCAUCACUGCGAUCAGGGAUGAUGGAGGUAAGUGGCUUUAUGAAGCUCCAGAAAUUAAAACCCAUGCUGUGACAUUUUUCUCUACACCAUAUAAAUCUGAACAGGAUAUAUAUCAGCCGUAUCAUAUGCGAGGGUGUUUUCCUCAAAUUGACCACACCCGAUUGGCAAGUCUUGCUGUGCCGGUGGAGAAUGAAGAAAUUCAUGAGGCAGUCUGUCAGAUGAGUCCUCUCAAAGCUCCUGGAAUCGAUGGCUAUCCUGCCGGGUUUUAUCAGGCUCAAUGGCAUAUUGUUGGUGAGUCUUUUAGUUCUGGUAUACAGGAAGUCUUUAAUUCGCACAGGAUCCCCAGAGAGGUUAGUAAAACUCUCCUAGUCCUGAUCCCAAAGACUGAGCGUCCCACAUCCUUCAGGAUGUAUCGCCUUAUAAGUUUAUGCACAGUAUUUUAUAAAACAGUAACCAAGAUUAUUGUGAAUAGACUCCAAGCUUUACUCCCUGAUCUUGUUGGCCCUCAUCAGACAAGUUUUGUCCCCGACCGGCAUAUUACGGAGAAUAUCAUCAUCGCUCAAGGGGUUGUCCACUCUAUGCGACGAAAGAUGGGUAAAAAAUGUAUAAUGGCUAUUAAGAUUGAUUUAGAGAAAGCAUAUGAUAGAUUGAACUGGAAUUUUAUUCAUGAGACUUUAAGGGAGCUAGCUUUGCCGUUCGAGCUCGUCCAGUUAAUAAUGGAGUGCAUUACUUCUAAUAGGAUGAACAUUUUAUGGAAUGGGGAAUUAACGGGGGAUUUUGCCCCUAGUAGAGGUGUUCGGCAGGGUGAUCCGUUGUCUCCUUAUAUUUUUGUUCUCUGUAUCGAGAGACUGAGUCAUGCAAUCUAUUGCUCAAUCCAGCAAGAACAAUGGAAACCAAUUCGUUUAGCUUGAAUGGGUACCCCCCUAAGCCAUUUAUUUUUUGCUGAUGACCUACUCCUUUUUGCCGAGGCUUCUAGUGCACAAGCCCUCUUCAUAAAUUCGGUCUUAGAUGAUUUUUGUUUGAGCUCUGGUGCAAAGGUGAACAAAUCCAAGACUCAAGUCUAUUUUUCUAAGAAUAUCUCCGAGGCUGUAGCUGGCCGAUUAGGGCGUGAACUUGGGUAUACAGUCACAAAAGAUUUGGGCAAUUACUUAGGCAUGCCUCUGCUGCACCGCCGGGUUUCGAAACAGACUUAUCAGGGAAUUCUGGAUAAAACGCAGCAAAGACUUUCGGGUUGGGCUGCCUCUCAACUGUCCUUUGCAGGGCGUAUUACUCUCACCCAAUCUGUCCUCCAAGCAAUCCCUAUAUAUGUUAUGCAGACUACUAAUUUAUUCGCUAGUAUCAAGACUAAAAUUGAUCAAGUUUGCAGAAUAUUCUUGUGGAGUGGAAAUGAUGAAAUGCGUAAGAUGAGUUUACUUAGUUGGCACACUAUAUGUCAACCAAAGCUGGCUGGUGGGCUAGGAUUUAAGAGAUUGGAGGUUAUGAAUGAAGCGUUAUUGUUAAAGGUUGCUUGGAACUUGAUCACCGAACCUGGUAAGCUUUGUGCCCAAGUACUAGCUACAAAAUACAGAGUGUCUCUCUCGGAUAUCCCACAAUUUCUUCCCACUCGGCAUGGCUCUCAUUUGUGGAAGUCUGUGUGUCGAGUUUGGGAUCAUGCCAAGCGGGGAUUACUUUGGAAUGUUGGUAAUGGACUGAGAAUUAAAUUUUAGUGGGACUGUUGGGCUACGGCAUCGUUUCCCCUUGCGGCUUUUAUUUUGAAACCAAUACCUCCUGAGCUUUGUGAUUUGUAUGUGGCUGACUUUAUGAUCGCAGACGGCACCUGGAACUGGUCGAAGUUCAGCCAUCUUUUAUCCCAUAAUGCAGUGAUGCGCAUUGCUUCAGUCCAUUCCCCUUCGGCGCGAAAUGGUGCUGAUAAGGCUUACUGGGCAGCUGCAACUCAUGGAAAGUUCACAGUGAAGUCAGCAUAUGAUCACUUGGCUCAGCCAUACUUACAUCAAAGGGAUAUGAUCUGGCGUUUGGCGUGGUCAUAAAGGGACCACAAAGUAUAAAAACUUUCAUCUGGUUGGUGCUGCAUAAUCGUUUGAAGACGCGGGGAGAGUUAACUGCAGGACAUUUAACAAUUGAACCACAUUGUGAGAGAUGCGGGUAUGAGUUGGAGACCACGAUCCAUGUGCUUCGUGACUGUCCUUACUCUAGAGCAGUAUGGAUUCGUCUUCUUCGGGACAAUAAUCAUCAUGAUUUUUUCAACAUUGAUCUUGCGGGGUGGAUGUCAAGAAACUUGCAAGCUUCAAACAAGUCUCUAGGUGGAAACCUUUGGCGUGUGCUGUUUGGAGUGGCUAUUUUGGCGGAUUUGGUUCUGGCGAAAUCAUUUUAUUUUUACGACGGAUUAUUGGGAUAGCAAUAAUAUUGCAAUGGACAUCAAAGUCAAGGCUGCUGAAAUUCUACGAAGUAAUUCCUGCUCCUUUGCGGCUGGUAUAACCCGUAUCGAAAGAUGGAUUCGUUAGACUGCGCUUGUUUGGCCUUGGGUUAAGUUAAAUACAUAUGGUGCCAAGAAAUCUUCGGGGAUUGCAGGAGCUGGUGGCUUAAUCCGUGACUUCAGAGGUGUUUGGCAAGUAGGCUACAGUGCAAAUUUAGGUGUUUGCUUGGUGACUUCAGCUGAGCUAUGGGGAUUAUUUCAUGGACUAUCUAUCGCUUGGCAAUAUGGGUUCCGCAGAGUGUACGUGGAAGUAGACAACAUGUGCGUUAUGAGGUUAAUCUCUAAUCCAAAUCCUCGUAUCAAUGAGCAUUUUACUCUCAUUCAGGAAAUCCAAACACUUCUCCGGCGUGAUUGGCUGACCAAAGUGGAGCGUAUCUAUCGAGAAGCCAAUGAAGCAGCUGAUUUCCUGGCUUCUGCUGUACCGUACAUCCGCCUUGGCCGUACAGCAGUUUUUUUUAAUUACUAAAAAAAUCAAUCGAUUCCUCCAAAUAUGCUUAGCAUAUUGACUAACGAUGUUCAUGGGAUUGUACACUCCCGCUUAGUGUUGCCUUAGUUCUCUUAUGAGCCCUUUGAUGAUAAAAAAAAAAUUACUUGUAAAUUUGUAAUAUUCAUUUUUUAUGUCACUUUUUAUCGUUUCUUCUAGACGCGCAAAAUACGUGAAUUUUAAAUUUAUUUUUCAAAAGAAAAAAAUGUAACGGAUUUUGUAAUUGAGAUGCAAACAAUUUUUGUGUUGUUUUCAUUCUCGUCCUCUGCAUAUAACAAACAAUCUUAUUUUUUUUAAACAAAUAGGAAUGAAUUAAAGAAAUAAGUAGAAUUAGUGUUUAGGGUAUAUAACGACGCAACUAGCUACACUCGAACAAGGACUUCCUUCUUGUGAGUGAGAAGCUAUAUAGCAUCCAUGAGCAGGAGUUUUCUGUUUGACACUGAGGAGAGCUUCUGUUGGGGUCGAGGCAUGAGCAGAAGUUUUCUGCUAUAUACCAAGGCAAUUUUCUGCUGGGGCCAAGGCCAGAGACCUAGUCAAUAGCAGUUGUCAGAACGUGUGCUACUUUCCAAAAAUCCAAGAACGAUACCCACUCAGCCACAAUCACAAUGCUCGAGCAUCCACGACCGAGGAUUCGGUAAAGUGGCGAACAUGGGUCAUGGAGACCGAAUUCCCAGGAGAGCUAUAAAAAGGGUCUCCAACGAAGGUAAAUAGGUUGGAUUUUUUGAGAUUGAACAUAUUAAGAAGAAAAUUCAUUUUAAUCUUUUCUCUAGGUUCUUAGUAGGGAGAAUUCUUGGGAUUUUAAAGGAUAAACGUUAUGGUGAAAAAGCCAAAAGGCCAGUGGCAACGUUUUUCCUAAAUAAGCCCAGAUUGCUGACUUGAGCAGUGGAGGGUUUACGCUGGGAAAACCCCGACAUUCUCUGAUUGGUUUUUGUACGUGUAGGAGUUCGCAGAGGAGAAGCAGCGAGCCUUAAAGUCUUGCUCAUUAAAAAGGAGUAGUGUGAAGUUAUCCCUGACCAACUAAAAAUUAAAGUGUUGAGGAGAGAUUCUGGUCGCGACCAAGUAGACCCUAAAUCUUGUAUCAACAUUUUGGCGCUGUCUAUGAGGAGCUAAACAAAAGAUACCGUUAAUGGAAAGAAGGAAAGGAAUGAAGAAGGGAGUGAUUUGGACGUAGGGGGAGUAGUGCUCAAGGGGGGAGCCGGGGCUCAGUGAGUCCGUGAAACUAAGGGAGAUAGCAAAUGAAGCAUGAAAGAGGGCAAUGCAUGAGCGGAUGGAGAAACAAAUUUAGACUUUAACAACCAUCUUGCACGAGCUAAGAAAUGAGUAGAGAGGAAUUCACGUAGGAGGAAUGAGAAGCGACAGAAUUAUACCAAGGCUUGUUAAUAGAAGGAGCCAUGAUGAAGAGAUCGCCCCGAUGAGAGGCCGAACUACCGGGACGUUUGGUGAUGGUGUCGGUGACCAAUCGUUAAUGGGGGAAGUCAUAAAGUAGGGGAUCAACCUCAGGGCAGGUGUUGGUAUAAAUUUAAAUGUUAUUGAUAUCAAUGUGCAAGUGUACAUAACAAGUAAUAUAAUGAUGAGUAUUCAAGAUCGUCUCCACAGGGAUUGAUGUUAUCAGACUUGCUACAACAAUUUUAAUAAUGCAGAUUUUGUUCUAAAUUAAAAUAAAACAAUUAAUGAAACUAAUAUACUAAUUAAAAUAAAAAACCAAUAAGUAAAAUGCAACAAAAUAAAUUAUCACGUACCAAUGGGAAUAUAGAGUAGUUGAUUGAAUAAACUUUUUUAAUGGUUUUGACUAUUUUUCUAAUGUUUGGCUCGGUUGCUACAACACUAGGCAGAAUCAUUAUAUAUCCACAAUUAUCGCAUGUUGGAUAUCUUAAAUCUAUACGCAACCUAAUAGUGAUAAGCUGUUUUGUCAAUAAAAGAUAUAUCAUUACACGAUUAGGUUCUAAUUAUCCUACAAGGUGAAUCUCUAUGUCUAGUUUAUCAUUAAUUUUAGAUUAAGAAUGACCCUUUUGGAAUCAAGUUGAACUCAAUCUAAAAUCAAGUUGAACUCAAUCUAAAAUCAAGUAUUUCUCUGAUAUGUUCUACUAAGAUAGGUCAUUUUGUGGCUCUUUCUUAGCUAAUAUCAUUAAAUGGGUGACCAGCCGAAAUAAUGAAUAGAAAUAAAUACUAUCAAAAUAAAAUACUAUAGCAAAUGUGCAGCAACACAUAUAUUUAGUCAAUAAACCAUGAAGAUUGUUUAUCACUUAACCACAAAUAAAUUUAGGUCAUGGUUUACAAAAAAAUAAAAAUAAAAAAUAAAAUUUCAGUCAUCAAACACAUCCUCAUGACUAAAAAGUAAAUAAGAAAACAAGAGAAGAAUAAGAAAGACUGAGUUCCCGAUUAAUUUCAGCAAAUUCUCCUCUUGUGUAGCCCUCAAUCUCUCUCUUGAAUUCUAUUUUUCUUUUGUUUCUUUGUGAUUUUUCUCUUUGGGUGACGGCUCUCCCUUUUCCUUAUGAUGUGUGCUCCUUUUAUAGUUGAAAAUUAGGGUAAAUGGAAGCCUAGGGCGUGUAUCUUCUAGAUUAGGAAACUACGGAUCGCAAUAUUCUGAGUAUCUCGCGUAAAAUUUUCUCUAUUGUUGUUCCAGGAUUGCCAUAGCAAUGACUCCAGCAACUGCACUGUUCCAGAUUUGUUUCAAUUUUUUUGUAAUCGAGUUAUUUUCUAUCUUUUGCAAGCCUAUUGCAGCAACAUACAUUUCUUAAAAUUUGAGCUUUUAAUCACUUACAAUUAUGCACACAAUCUAAGCACACAAAAUUAUUAUAAAACAACGCAAUUUAUUAAAAAUAAACUAAAAUAAUUAUUCAUACAAAAUAAAAUUAAAAUACAAUAAAAAAAUAUGUCAUUUACUCUCUAAAUAAUAAUGAUUUACUUUAGAUAACGAUGAUACAUAGAAAUGCUGGACCUUUUCUUAUGAGCUUAAGCUUUGGAGUUAAUAGUUUUUUAAUAUGGUGUCAUUCUGCGUUUUUUCUCUAAGGUAGCCAGCACUUAUUGACGAACACAUUUUGCUCUUGGUAAAAAGCUUGAGUCUCUGGUGAACAAACUUAUACAUUACAUUUCUUUCCUAGAUGCUUUGCCUUAGUUUUUAUACCAUUAUUUCUAAUCAAUCACUGAGAAGUGUUUUCUUUAUUUUUUGUUUUUAGGUCUUAAAAAUCCACUUACCUUGAUGAGCUCUGUGGCACCAAUUAUGGCGCUGGUGACUGCUCUUCUUUCUCUAUUGCUGGAUCCAUGGCAUGAAUUCAAAAGGAAUAAUUAUUUCAAUAACUCAUGGCAUGUCACUUGGAGUUUGUUGUUGAUGCUUUCCGGCGGAGCUUUGGCCUUUUUCAUGGUAAGAAUUGAGGUUGAACAAAAAGGAUUGGGAGGAAGAUACAUUUACAUGCUUUUCGUGUUGCAUAUUGAGUACACUUGAUCUGAGUUUCAUGGUCCCCAAAAGAAAUUAACUUUUUUCUCUUGUUACAGGUUUUGACAGAAUUUGUACUUGUCUUGGUAACAAGUGCUGCCAAUGUUCAAAUUGUAGGUGUUGUCAAGGAGGCUGUAACCAUAUUGGUAAAACUUUUCUAUGGUAGUUAGUCUUUCUAGAUUAAUUUGGUAAAAUGUUGGCUGUUGUAUGUGCUUUAUUGUUUGUUCUAUCUUAUUUUCUAGCCGUUACCUUGUGAAAUCCUUUAGUUACAACACCGUUCUGUUUCAAACAUUAAAUAUUCGAACUCUCCUAUUAGAUAAGAUAAAUACCCUGUUUGUCAUGAGGUUGCAAUUAUUUAUGAUUAUGGCUAUUGUCUUAAAACAUUUUGCAUGGUCUGAGCCCUCUUUUGUAACUUUUGAUUGUGAUCUAUACUUAUAUUUAGAUUUUUGUUUGAGGAUGCUUGAUGCAUCUAUAAGAUGUAAGAAUCCCGCUUUGAUUGUUUUACUAGUUUUGUUGUCACAGUGUAGCUAUCUCCUGCAUAGACGGACCCUGUGCUUUGAUUGUUUUACUGGUUUUAUUGUCACAAUGUAGCUGUCUCCUGCAUAGACAGACACUGUAUAGAAUUAAACCCUAGUCUUAUGUUUUCUUAUCGUGUUUUUUCAUUUGGUUAAUUAUUUUAUUAAUAAUUACAAAUAUAAAAAACAUGAAUGGCUACACAGUAUAAAGACUCUCAAAGGAUUCUACUUCAAUAUGUGAAUGUACAGGUUGCAGUGUUUUACUUUCAUGAUGAGUUCACUUGGCUGAGGGGGUUUGGUCUCUUCACAAUCCUGGUCGGUGUCAGUUUAUUCAAUUGGUACAAGUAAGUCAUUAGUUAUUGUAGUUUUGAACUAUCAUUGCAUGUUUCUUCUCUUUUUCCUUUCCCCCCUCUUUUUUCUUCUUUGUUAACUGAUUUUGUUGUUGUCUUUUUUUUUAAACUAUUAUUUGGCUGUUAGAUUAUUGCUUAGUGUGUAGUGGCCAAAUAUGGAUUGUGUGAUGCAGAAUACAUAAGUAUCCAGUUCAUUGCUAAUAAUCUUAAAACUUUCUCCCAUCAAAGAGUCCAAUUAAAUGGGAUAAAAUGUAAUUGUAGAACUUUGGACUGGACAAAUUUUCCAUGACUAGCUUUUGCUUUUGGCUGUUUGCAUGAGAAGGAUGUUCCUUUAACUUGCAUGUUUUCCAUGUUAAAUGCCCUUCUGUAACAUUAAUCACUAAAGCUUGGUUGUUGUCCAUCAGAUGUUAUGUGUCAGAUUUGCGAGCAUUCUGGUGGUGAGCUUUAAUCUUUUCUGUGAACGGUUAGCCUGCUGCACAAAAUUAGAUCAUUAUACAAAAGUUCCACAUAAUGUGCCCUAGUCAUUGAAGUUUGAUAAAGUUUAAGAAUAUGAUAAUGACAUUUCUCGAAACCCAAGAAAGCAUCCCAAUGGUCAUUAUGCGUCAUUAUAAAUGGGAUCAACCAAAUUAUAAUUGCCUUGUCCUGUUGCUAUCAGUUAGCAACGAGAAUUGAGAUUUUACCGGCUCAUCCAGCUAAAUUUUGUAAGUCCUUUGCUCCUUACUUACCAAAUUUGACAUGUAUUGAUUGCAUUUGUUUGUGGAUCUCUUGAAAUAAUAUUUUGGUUUUUGAUGUUUCUUCCUGACAUAUUAAAAAUAUUGGAAUUUUAGAGUUUCUCUAGUAUCUGAGCUUAUGGAUCAGAAAAGCAUCAGUUUUCAACAUUAGUUGUGGAACAAUAUAAGGGCAGAAUGAUAAAGCUUAACUUUAAGCUACCUAAUCUUAACACCCGAUUUCUACUGUGUGCUUCUUGUCAAUUUUUUCCUAAUCUGGUUUUUGUUCUUGAUUGUUACUCUUUUUAUCCUUUUUCAGAUACCAAAAGCUACAGGCAGGUCAUGCAAAUGAAGAUGGCAUGUUGGGAUCACCUGAAGCAAAUGCUUCUGCAAAAUAUGUUAUUCUAGAGGAGAUUGAUGAUCUAGAUGAGGGCACUUGAAAUUUCUAGUAGCCACAUGAUUUGAAUUUUCAUAAUCUUGUGUAAGCCUCUUGCUGAACCUUCUCCAUUUGGGGUGGAACCUUAGGUUGAUGCAAUGGUUUGAUUUGGUAUUUAUCACAGUGGUCCAAGUUUGUGUAAUGAUCCAUUGAUUUACAUUUGAUUAUCAGGUUAUCAGCCAAAGAAAUCCGUGGCGUCAGUAGUAACUGGUCUCAAGUUUGCAGUAUUUAGCAAUUCUUAUUGUUGGCUGAGCUUCGGCGUUGAUAUUUCUUCUGCUCCUCAAGCAGGUCAGUGGCAGAAACGUAUAGGGUGUGUACAACAUCAGGGGUUUGGCAAAUACAUUUUGGCAAGCGAAAAUGCGAAAUUGAGUGAAGACUGAAGAAGCCCAUUCAUGUGGAAAGUUCACCUCAAGCUUUUUACUAGUGGGUCCUGUAUAGGAUACAUAUUUCCUAAACGCAUACUCUACGGUCAUUUUGUCGGUCUUUAAUUGGUUGUUUAGUUUAGACAUUGAGAAUGCAAGUGGCGAAGCAAGCUGUAGUAGGUUGAACGCUUUAUUUUGACUUGUUCAAUGCUUCAAAUAUAUUAUUGCACUUUUUGAGGACUUUUAUGGGUCAUCCCUUUUGAUAAAUUGUAUUGUACUCCUUUAUUGGUUUUACACUACGGUGCACCGACUCUGCUUCUUUGAGUGUUUGACUCACGGGAAAACUGAAAUGAAAAAACAGAACCUUUUUAUCGAACAUUAAAACAUGAAUAUCCUUUUUCUUAUGUCUAUCUUUUAAUAAAUACGCAUAGAAAAAUGCUAAGGGGAGAGAAUGUUGAGAGAAAAUUGAGAGAACAAUGAAGAAAAUGGUAGAGAAAGAAUGGGUGGAGAGAGAGGGGGUGAAUUUCCAUCAGCUUUCUCUCUAUCUUUCACUCCCCCUAGCACCACUCGUGUACGUAUAUGGGCUCUGGCCCAGUGGGUGGAUGAGUCAUUAGUGUGUGGGUGGGUGGACGAUACAGAAUAGAGAUAAGGAGACGGCAGGGUUGACUUCUGUCCCUUGAAUAAAAUUUUUCAGUCGAUCUCUCAUUUUAUCUUUGAAAUACUCUGCAAGUGAAAAAAAUCCUGCAGUCUCCUUUACAAAUCAUUCCGUAUUGCACUUUUCUUGUCGGCGAUGAGUGUUAGCGGGAACUGGUGUUCUGUUCUUUUCUUUCUUAUUUUCUCUACGCCAUUUUCUUGCUUGGUUGAUGCCCAAAGUUUUGAUUAUCCGACAGCGAACCUCUCUACUUCAUGGACCAACGGCCCAUCAGCUUCUGACUCGGUAGGUUUCACUGACGGAUCAGCGGUGAGAGCCAUCCUUCUUAGGGGAACCUUUGGCCCAGCAUAUGCAUGUGGCUUCUUCUGCAACGGCACCUGUGACUCUUAUCUAUUUGCUGUUUUCAUAGUUCAGNNNNNNNNNNNNNNNNNNNNNNNNNNNNNNNNNNNNNNNNNNNNNNNNNNNNNNNNNNNNNNNNNNNNNNNNNNNNNNNNNNNNNNNNNNNNNNNNNNNNNNNNNNNNNNNNNNNNNNNNNNNNNNNNNNNNNNNNNNNNNNNNNNNNNNNNNNNNNNNNNNNNNNNNNNNNNNNNNNNNNNNNNNNNNNNNNNNNNNNNNNNNNNNNNNNNNNNNNNNNNNNNNNNNNNNNNNNNNNNNNNNNNNNNNNNNNNNNNNNNNNNNNNNNNNNNNNNNNNNNNNNNNNNNNNNNCAGUGGUCCAAGUUUGUGUAAUGAUCCAUUGAUUUACAUUUGAUUAUCAGGUUAUCAGCCAAAGAAAUCCGUGGCAUCAGUAGUAACUGGUCUCAAGUUUGCGGUACUUAGCAAAUCUUAUUUUUGGCUGAGCUUCGGCUUGAUUUUUUCUGCUCCUCAAGCAGGUCAGUGGCAGAAACGUAUAGGGUGUGUACAACAUCAGGGGUUUGGCAAAUACAUUUUGGCAAGCGAAAAUGCGAAAUUGAGUGAAGACUGAAGAAGCCCAUUCAUGUGGAAAGUUCACCUCAAGCUUUUUACUAGUGGGUCCUGUAUAGGAUACAUAUUUCCUAAACGCAUACUCUACGGUCAUUUUGUCGGUCUUUAAUUGGUUGUUUAGUUUAGACAUUGAGAAUGCAAGUGGCGAAGCAAGCUGUAGUAGGUUGAACGCUUUAUUUUGACUUGUUCAAUGCUUCAAAUAUAUUAUUGCACUUUUUGAGGACUUUUAUGGGUCAUCCCUUUUGAUAAAUUGUAUUGUACUCCUUUAUUGGUUUUACACUACGGUGCACCGACUCUGCUUCUUUGAGUGUUUGACUCACGGGAAAACUGAAAUGAAAAAACAGAACCUUUUUAUCGAACAUUAAAACAUGAAUAUCCUUUUUCUUAUGUCUAUCUUUUAAUAAAUACGCAUAGAAAAAUGCUAAGGGGAGAGAAUGUUGAGAGAAAAUUGAGAGAACAAUGAAGAAAAUGGUAGAGAAAGAAUGGGUGGAGAGAGAGGGGGUGAAUUUCCAUCAGCUUUCUCUCUAUCUUUCACUCCCCCUAGCACCACUCGUGUACGUAUAUGGGCUCUGGCCCAGUGGGUGGAUGAGUCAUUAGUGUGUGGGUGGGUGGACGAUACAGAAUAGAGAUAAGGAGACGGCAGGGUUGACUUCUGUCCCUUGAAUAAAAUUUUUCAGUCGAUCUCUCAUUUUAUCUUUGAAAUACUCUGCAAGUGAAAAAAAUCCUGCAGUCUCCUUUACAAAUCAUUCCGUAUUGCACUUUUCUUGUCGGCGAUGAGUGUUAGCGGGAACUGGUGUUCUGUUCUUUUCUUUCUUAUUUUCUCUACGCCAUUUUCUUGCUUGGUUGAUGCCCAAAGUUUUGAUUAUCCGACAGCGAACCUCUCUACUUCAUGGACCAACGGCCCAUCAGCUUCUGACUCGGUAGGUUUCACUGACGGAUCAGCGGUGAGAGCCAUCCUUCUUAGGGGAACCUUUGGCCCAGCAUAUGCAUGUGGCUUCUUCUGCAACGGCACCUGUGACUCUUAUCUAUUUGCUGUUUUCAUAGUUCAGGCCUAUAAUGCUUCCUUAAUCGAUUAUCAACAUAUCGAAUUUCCACAGGUUGUCUGGUCCGCUAAUCGUAACAAUCCUGUUCGAAUAAACGCAACCUUAGAACUCACUUCAGAUGGGAACUUGGUCUUGCAAGAUGCUGACGGAGCAAUUGCUUGGUCGACGAAUACCAGUGGUAAAUCUGUUGUGGGCUUAAACUUGACAGACAUGGGCAACCUCGUACUUUUUGACAAGAAUAAUGCAGCCGUUUGGCAAUCUUUCGAUCAUCCAACGGACUCGCUGGUUCCUGGCCAAAAAUUGUUGGAAGGGAAGAAACUUACAGCUAGUGUUUCAACCACG